CAAAUUUAAAAACCAAUAAUCUUUUAAUACCUUUUAUCUCCUCUUUUGUGCAGUACCUUUUAUCUCCUCAAUUAAAACAUUUUCUUCUCUUUUUCUCUAUUAUUUAUUUUUUUUAAAUCCCCAAAAAAUCUUCUUGAAAGCCAAUCGCUUCCAGUAAUGCUCUCAUCUUGCUAAUCUUUCCUACUUUCCUUCUUUUUUGUCUCGUCUUUUUCCCAGGCUUCGUCAACCUUCCAUUUUUUUUGCGUCCUUUCUCUCUUUCCUUUCUUCUUUUCCUUUUCCUUUCUUCUUUCUUUUCUCUUUUUCCUUUCGUUUUUUUUCUCUUUUCUCUUUUUUCCUUUCUCUCAGCCAGUCUUCUCAUCUCGCGGUUCCCGGCAAAGACUUCCGAUCGUCGUUGCGGUGAUUCUCGGCGCCAGAUUUGGAUGGCAUGCAGCGGUAUUUCGUCCGACGGUUCGCUGAAUAGCGUUUCUCCUUUCUCACGUCGUUUUCAUUUUUUUUUGACGAAAUCCCUAAUGGGUUUCUUUUUUCCAUUGACAGCCGCCAUCCAGCUUCAUCCCUCUAGCCAUUUCCGGUGACUCUGCGGCUUCCCUUGGCGAUUUUCCGGCGAACUGCGACUCCGCUUGGCAAUUGUUGUCGGAUCUACAACUUCUUUUGGCGAUUUUCCAGCAAACCGCAGCUGCUCUUGGUGAUUUUUCGGUGAGCCACAAACCUUUGGUGUUUUUCGGUGGUUCUUGAUUAUCUGGGGUGAUUUUCAGCAGUGUGGGUGAGUUUCUUCUACUGUUUUUGUUAUAUAUAUAUAUUAUUUGUAUAAGUAUAUAUAGGUAUUUAUAUAUGUUUACAUGCAUGUGUAUACAUGUGGGUAUUUAUUUAUCUAUGUGUGUACUCUUACUCAUUGAUCUUGGUGAAUGUAGCUUUAUCAUUCCAUGUUUACAAAUUCUGAUUUGUGGAAUUGGUGAGUUUGAUGUGCCCUUUUUUCCAUCUUUCCUUUUUUCUUGGUAUAUACAUUGUUACACUAUGUUGCAUAUUCUAAAAAAAAAAAUUCUUCAUUCUUUAUUUUUCAUGUUUUUGGUUGUGGUUAAUGGUUGAUAAAUGGUGUGGAUGUGUAUUUGACAGAAAGAUGUGGAUUGAAGGGGACUCAUGUGGUCAGAAGUAGUAGUGUAAAUAGCCUUCAUACUGAAUCUCCUUCCCAUAUUUCCAUUAGUGAAGACGAAAAAUCUUCUCCCAAUGUCUCUAACAAUGGUAAUCUAUAUCCUUGGUCUCCUCCCACUAGGGGUGUCUACCGCAAUAGCCCACGCUUUUCCGGUACACCAUCAACCCACCAAUCUCAGAAAAAGGCUAAGCCAUCUACCCAUGUGACCCGAGUUCAUUCCUCAUAUCGAGUUCCUAGAUCUCCCUCUGCUCUUAUUUCAAAAUCUAGUUAUCUCCAUUCGCUAGAAGCUAAGAGGGCUACUUUGGGUUACUUAGAACGAAUUAAGGGCAGGCAUAACAUUCCUUCCUAUGUCCAGCUUAGGGUACCCUGUGUAGAUGAGCAACUAAAAUGCCCUUCAACUGAUGAGAUUGCCCUUCACAUUGACCUCUUUGAUCUAAGACUCCGCUGCCUCUCUAACCUUCUUUUAUCAGGAUGUUUAGUACUUGAGGAUAGCUCUUAAGCAGCUAUCUCUUCUAGGGUGGAGGACACUCACAGAUUUGCAAGUAUUAUAGUCGGAAGUAUUGGGGCAUGCUAUUUAUAUUCGAUAUUUGAGGGGACUUUACCAAUUUAAGAAGCCCAAAGGUCAUGUUGUUGCUUAUUUCUCUACCUCGGGUGUCCAUGGCAAUCUUAUUAGAGGGGACCCUGUCUUGAAGAAGGGUUAUAAAUAAGGUAGGUUUGUUGCUGAUGGUAAGUGGUGGGAGGAUACCCCAGAUGAUAAAGACAGUAAGUGUUCCCCUCGUAGCUGAUCAUUAUUUAUUUUUAUCCUAGUCCACUUGCAUAAAUGUUUUGCUAACCUUGGGUUCCCCAUGGCUUUAUAGAUGUCACGUGGGUGAAAAGGUCAUGCCCUAUUCAGGAGGUGGGGAGAGAGGUGAGUAACUUUAUGGAGAGGUUCCGAGCUGUAUAGAGGGGUAGUGAUGUGUUGCAGGAGAGUAGGUUGGAGAGAGCGGGGCUAAUUGACAAAGGUUUUUCAUCUCUUUCUAGUGGCGAGUCAUGUAUGACUUUUAGGUGUUAAGGGGGUACCCUAUUAUUAUCCAUGUGACGAAGGUGCCCCACGAUCACCAUGUUUUACAUUUAGCUUUGCUAUUUUCUAUUUCCCUUUGCUUUGUGUUCGUUUUCUCGUGUGUUAGGUGCAGAUAUAGAAUCAACGGAUGACGCUUUUGAUGCUUUCUUCUAAGGGAUGGUGGGUGUAUCUUUCGGUACUCAGGAUUUUGCAUUACCACAAAAGAAUACUCGCCUCUUCAUGGCCCUAGAGUAAAGGUGAAAUCGCAAGGUACCUCUCAGACUGGAUCGUUCCCAAAAGAGAAAAUUUGGGUUAGUUUCUUUAUUUCCUGAUGAUCUUCAUGAGGGUGAACUAGAUCCGAUGUCCAACUAGAAGUUCUCAUAUCUAGCCCAUUGUUUUUAUUAUUCUGCAGAGAACGUUACCCCUAAGAUUGCCGCGGAGACAGAUAUGUUUAGUUUGAGUGAGCGUUAUGGCCGAACACUUAAGGCUACUCAAGAAGUAAGUUCUUCUAGGUUACCUCGAGUAUACUUUUUCUCAUUCAUUAUUUAUUUAUUUAUAUAGUUAUACACACACACACACACACACACAUAUAUAUAACACUCUUCAACAACUGUAAGGGGCCUUUCUUCUGAGUCAUUAUCUUCCAGACUUUUAUUCAUUUGUCGCUACCCAGUCAAAGGUUGAAAAUUUGAUGGGUGAGCUCUAAAGUCAACAAUCUCUUAAGGAAAAGCUUGUUUAGGAAGUCAAGGCAAUGAAUGAGCGCCUUGAUGAUCUGUCUGGAGAGAAAGCUCGGGUAAAAAGAGACUGUGACGAGCUAAGGGCCAAAUACGGGAUCAGUUGUCUCAGUAAAAAACGAUGGCAGAUAAGGCAUUUUCCCUUAUCAUGACGAAGGUAUAGAGCAUGAAUCCAGAAGUGUUGGUACCCUGGGUCAAGAGAUACGUUAACAAGGCAAUUGAAGUGUAACAUAUGUAUAAAUUUAAAAUAAGAAUGAGGCGGUGAUUAAGGAUUUUGGCGGUUGAGGAAUUUUAAAAUAAAAGAAGCUGGAAAAACAAAGCAAAAACAGACACAUGCACGUGCGAGAGAAGCUGCCAAACCGACCCAACUACAAACCCGAAAACCCGUCCCAACCCGCGAAUGUAACCCGGCCAUAUCUCGCAAUUUCGGCCACCACUCCGGCCAAGCAAGGUAUCAAUCGAAAGCUUGUGAGACGCUGGUCAUACUUUAACUGUCAUCUUCGUCGGAAAUCGACUGGAACGCCGCCGUUUAAGGCUUGAAAAACCACAGCCAAAACCCAUCACUACCGCCAUUGAUCUUACCGAAAUUUGACCACGCCACCACCUCAGUUUUGUUCCCCACGACUCCCUCUUCCAUUUCCGACCAUCCACUGCCGUCGGGGACAUCGUUUUGCCGUUGAUCGGCCGUUGAAGGACUUACGGCUUUGGGAGCUCGAUCCGAAGCCAUCGCCACGCGUAGGAGGUCAUUACCGCCACCAUUGGACUCAAUGUGGCCAUAACUUUCAGACUUGAGCUUUCUAGCCAGCGUUGACCAAAUUCUGGUGACUGUUGACCACCAAGGGCAUUUAGGUAAUUUCACAGUAUGAGGGCAAUUUUGUAAUUUCUAAGCCUAUGGAUAUUUUAAUAAUUCCUAGAAUUGAAGAUUGGGUGUAAUUACGAUUCUGAGGGUAAUUCGGUGAUUUGCGAUUUCAGAGUAUUUUAAUGAUUUACGGACUUGAGGGCAUUUUAGCAAUUUUAUCGACACGGGAGUUGUAAAUUAUGGAUAGAUGUUCGUUUCGAGUUUAUUGCAUAAAUUUAGUUGUAAUUUCGAUUUACGGAAAAUAAUUAUGUCAUUUCCUUGAUUUAGGAGGAUCCGCGAGCGAGAACUGGUCCGCAGACGUAGACGAUAACUGAGUGUGAACACCGUCACUGUGAGUGGAAUAUACAAAACCUAUUUUCAUAGUUAAUUAUGAUAGUAAAGCAUGUUUGCGAAAUAAGUAUUUUAAAUGUUCUGAUUUAAUGAUUCCCUCAAAAUGAAUUUUAUUAACGCAUUGAUAUUUUAUUAAAAUGUUUGGUUAAUGAUUUUGCGUAUCGACUUUGAAUAAGCAUGUUAGUAUUUUAAAGAUAAGAAAAGUGGAUUCAAAUGAGGUAUGAUUUAAAGUAUGGUUAAAAGGUAUGUGAAUAUGAGUAUAAUGAUUAUUUUUUAAAUCAUUAGACAAUACCAUUCCCCUCCAGAUACAGUGAUACAGAUGUGAUGAGAUAGAGGCCUUUGGGGCCCGUCUGAACACACAUAGAGGCUUUGGGCCAUGUGUUUGGGCGCUUUUUCUUUUGGGGGCAUAUGCACGCGGUAUGAUGAUUACAGAGAUACAGAUAUGAGAUACAGAAAGAUAUUGAGAUGCAGAUGAUAUAGAUGAGAUACAGGCCUUUGGGGCCCGUUUGAGUACACAGAGGCUUUGGGCCGUGUGCUUGGGCGUUUUUGUCUUUUGGGGACUAGAUUAUGCAUGCACAGAUAUGAUGAGAUAUGAGAUGGUAUUUCCUUGUCUAUCCGUGUAACUCCGGGGCAUGACGGUAUCCAUAUAGUACGUCAUUGCCCGUCCGUUGAGGUCCGGAUACGAUGAGAUUAUUUCCAUGGGUACUUGUUUGGUGAUGAUUUUCAAAUUUGUGUAUUAUAUAUGAUAUUGUGAUAUGAUUUCCAUGGUUAGUAAUCUGAUUUAAAUGUUAAAUGAUUUAUUAAUGGUUUCUCGCAUAUGGUUUGAUGAAAUCAUGUUUGGAAAUGAUAUGAUUAUUUCUUUUUAAAUAAGAAUUAAUUUUCAAAAACUACUAUUCACUCACUGAUCUCACUGAGUUUUAAACUCACCCCGUUUUUAUUUUAUUUUUCCCUACACCAGGAGGUUGUAGGUACACCAGACCGACCCAGCGACUGUAAAUAUAUUUUGAGUCUUGGCCACGUGAUAGUGUUAGAAGAUAUAGAUGAUUUUGUUAGGACAUUUAAGUUAUCUUGUCCUUUUGGGAUUGUAUAAUUUUGUUAUAUUAUUCUUUUGGGAUUAAGAAUAAACUGAGAUAUUAAUAUUAGUUAUAAUAUUAUUUUUUGAGACUUUAGAGAUAUCUUGAGUAAAACUUAGUAUUUUGGUUGAGGAUGUUGAUAAUUGGAGUUGUUGUAUAUUAAAUUAUAUUGGGAGUGUUAUAUUUAUAAAGGAGACUGCUGAAUUUUUGGCAGAAUCUUUAUUAAUAGAAUUAUUAUCAAGUUCGUUUUGAUGAGACUAGAUUGACUCGCUCGAAGGGGAUUCAAGGCGGGUCGUUUCAUGAGACAGAAAGAAACUGUCCACUACCCAAUUGGGUAGUCCAUCCGGGUACCUGGGUACCCAACAUACCCCAGCAAAUGCCUGGCUUAGAUGCUCCUACAUGGGCUGCUCAUAUUUAGGUACCUCGGAGUCUUCUGCUAACCACCAUUUGAAGAAGGAUGUUGGGGAUGAUGUACCCCUUUUAGUGUAGUUAUUACUUUGUGCUGUUGUUUUUCUUGGGCUCCCCACAUUCUGCACUUGGAACUUAUUUCUUUGUUUUGAUUUUUUUGGGAUAUUUUGCAUUGCUUGGAUGUCUCUACUCUUGUGAUAUUGUGCUAUUAAGCCCCUUGUUUUGUAUUUGCAUGUAGUAGUAUUUUACAUCCUUGUUACUCUGCAUCUAAGUACUUGGCUAAGCUGUCAUUUUGUAAAUUUUCGGGGUACCUCGCAUUAUAUUUGACAAAUUCUUCUCUGAAAGGGGUACCUAAGGUACCCAACAAAGAGAUCAUAUUAGGCGCCUAAUGGCUCACGUAGACACAUUUGCGCAUGUCUUUUUUGAAAAUUAUGUUGAAUCUCAACAAAUGGAUAAUCAAAGCAUCAUCAUAACAUUUUGAUUAUAAUAAAGAGUAUGCAGUUGGUGCACCAAAUUUAUUUCUUGCUCUUCUAAAGCUUUCCCCAAAAUUUUGAAUUGCCUAUUCUCCACUGGCGUGUGCAAUUUCUAAUGCUAUGAGUGUCAAUGUACAAGUGUACACAAUAAGUAAUAUAUUGAUGAGUACUCAAAUCGUCUCUACAGGGAUUGAUGAUAUCAGAUUUGCUACAACAACCUUAACAGUGUAGUUUUAUUCUAAAUUAAAAUAAGACAAUCUAUGAAACUAAUACACUAAUUAAAAAAAAUGCAAUAAAGAAAAUUAUCUCAUCAAACACAAGUAUUAAUGUAACGUUCACUUUUAUUUUUAUUUUUUCUCUUUUACCCUUAUUAACUUGAGUAGGAUAGUUAUUAUUGAGUGUUUGUGUGUGAGUAAAAUUUAUCAAAUUGCUUUAAAUAAGUUACGUAAGUUAUUAGUUUUUAUAAAAAAAUAUUUAUUAAUUACCAAGUAUUUAAGAGGAAGCCAUCUUUUUAAGAAACCGUCUUUUAUUUUUUUACACCGUUACAAACCCUAGAAAAAAAAGAAAGAAAAAUAAGUUUUUUGGAGAAGGAAAAGAAAGUUUUAUAACUUCUUUUCUUAGUGUUUGCCUUAAGGUAUUAAAUAUUUCUUUGACUUAUAUGAUUUAUUUUUAUGAAUUGUUUGCCUUUAAUUACUUGUAGUAUGAUUUGCGUAAUAUAUGUGUUUGUAAUGUUGUGAUGAUAUAAACAGUCUCUAUUCCUUGCUUGAAAUCGUUUUCUUUAUUUAGAAUCACGUGAAUAUGCUUACAUAUCAUGGAACUAGACAUCCUAAGAUUUCCAUUGAUAGGUCUUGUGUUGAAAUCGUCAGAGUAUGCAAAUUGUUAUGGGUUUUCGAAGUUGGGUUACUGGUGCUUGAAAAUUCCGACUUUCAGCAGCGGUUCUCACUUUUGGAAAAUUUUCCGUAAGGUUACACAUCCUUACAAAUUAUGGUGAUUUUUUUAUCCAUAUAUCUAUGUCUAAUAUAAUUGCAUGUUUAAUUUCGUAAUUUUAUUCAUUGUGGUUAAAUUAUUAAAAAUUGAAACAUGCGACUAUUGCAGAUCUAGAAACUGUUUUCCAGAAAUUGCAGAAGCUGAUACGUGUAACAGUUUGGGCUAAUUUAUGAAUAUUACAUGCCAUGUUAGGAUUUUAUAAUGAAAUUUCAAUCUUUCCUCCGUCUUUAAAAAACUGGAAUCGCUGUUUUUGGGCAUGUAAAAUAAAAGAUGUGAAAUUUUGAAAUUCUGUUUUCAAAUCUGGAAUUUUCUGGACAGGUUAGAUGUUCUUGGAAAUAAAACGCUUUUAAAAUAGUUUCAGGCGUCCAAAAAUUAUGAAUUUUAAUUAUAUGCUUUCUGAAUAUGUAUUCUGUAAUUGGAAAAAAGAAACAUAUUAUUUCAAGUACUAAAGAAUAUUUCAUGAAUUUACUAAGUGAUAAAGGUCUAACUUGGUUAGGACAGUUUUGUUACUCUGGUGAAAGGUCAAUAUUUUGGCUUGAUUUUCAUAGUACCUCUGUAAAUUUUCAUGGUUUUCCAACAUGUGUAUAGGUUAUUAAAAAUCAGCAUGUGUAAGAUACUCUUACUUAUGUCUAGAAUAUGAAUAAGUAUUGAGCUAGUAUAAGUGCCUAUGAAUUAAAGAUGAUUGGGAUUAUGUUUAAGGUUAGAGAUGAUAUUGAUAAAGAUAUUUUUAUGAUGAUUAUAGGACGUGGGUGAGCUCAUUGGUUUGUUCUUAAGGUAUUGAGUUGAUUUCUGUGGAUCGAAGUAAGUAGAUUCAUGCAUGAUGUGUUUUAUAAUAAAUACAAUUUAUGUUAUAAGAAUUAUGUUUAAAUGGAAGUUUUUACAAAACUGAUUUCUAAAAUAUUUAAAUGAAUUUAUAUAAAUGUAUUUUAAAAUAAAUUUUUCUUAAGAAAUUAGUUUUUUCAAAACAAAUAUUUUCUUAAAGAAUUUUCUAAAAGAAUUAAAUGUUCAAAGAAAAGUUCUUAAAUGUUUUAAAAGAUUUUAAAUGCAAUUUAUAAAAAGACGUAAGGUGGAUUCAAAAAUAUUUUGGCUCAUAGUCCGUAGUAAUGUAUAUGAUGUUAAUGUUAUGAUGCUAUGAAAUGCUAUGACCAGCUUGCUGGUAUGAUGAUGAUCUUGUGUACAAGGAUGUUAUGAACAAUGUGGGGUAUAGUACUCAGAAUGAGGAAUAAUGUGGGGUAUAACACCCUAAAUGAUGAAUGAUGAUGACUACGAGGCAUGAGCUACCAAUGUUUAUGUUUUAAUGUUUUUAUGAAUGUUUUAUUGUUUUUAAUGCGUUUACAUGAAUCCACCCCUUAUGCUAAAUGAAGAUGUUGUUAUAAAAUGUUUAAAGGUAAAAUGACAAGGUUUUCAAAUGUUGUGCAUGGAUUUGCUUACCGAGUUGACGGCUCACCUCUCGUCUCCAAUAUUUUGCAGAUUGAUUAGAGAUGUGGCUUGGGUUUUUAGAUGGAGAAUUUUCUUAGUGGAUCUUUGGAGUUGCUUUAAACAUUAAAUUUGGCUAGACUUUUUAUUUUAGAUUAGAGACUUUUCUUUGGAGACUUUAUUUCAAAUGUUUUAUGUAAGGAUUCAAUUGGAGUAUGAAUAAUGAUUGUCUAUCUUGAGAUUUAUUAAUAAGAAUAAAUGAUGUGAGGUCUCAUUUCAAAUUUUACCCUUGUGUUUUCA
rnacentral:lncRNA from 1 species